UCUUACAUAUCUGGAUGAAUGUGACAAGGUAGCAAGCUGUCGUACAUAUCCAGACAUUGUCACGUUCAUCCAGAUAUGUACGACAGCCUGCUACCUGUCACAUUCAUCCAGAUAU
rnacentral:pre_miRNA from 1 species